rnacentral:rRNA from 1 species
GAUGAACGCUGGCGGCGUGCCUAAUACAUGCAAGUCGAGCGAACAGACGAGGAGCUUGCUCCUCUGACGUUAGCGGCGGACGGGUGAGUAACACGUGGAUAACCUACCUAUAAGACUGGGAUAACUUCGGGAAACCGGAGCUAAUACCGGGUAAUAUAUUGAACCGCAUGGUUCAAUAGUGAAGGACGGUUUUGCUGUCACUUAUAGAUGGAUCCGCGCCGCAUUAGCUAGUUGGUAAGGUAACGGCUUACCAAGGCAACGAUGCGUAGCCGACCUGAGAGGGUGAUCGGCCACACUGGAACUGAGACACGGUCCAGACUCCUACGGGAGGCAGCAGUAGGGAAUCUUCCGCAAUGGGCGAAAGCUUGACGGAGCAACGCCGCGUGAGUGAUGAAGGUCUUCGGAUCGUAAAACUCUGUUAUUAGGGAAGAACAAAUGUGUAAGUAACUAUGCACGUCUUGACGGUACCUAAUCAGAAAGCCACGGCUAACUACGUG